AGUCCAUGCGCCAGAGCGAAAAAAAGCCCUUUUUUAUUAUCCCGGUCAGCUCAUUUUGUACAGAGGUGAAGAUGACGAUUCCGUGAAGAAGUAAUGGCUGACGUUGUCGAACAUUCAGACCCACUGGAGGCGUUCCACAGCCUGGAGCCCGCCGAUAAGGAAUUCGAUGUGACUUGAUCUCCUCAAAUGCACCCACAGCCUUUUGUCAGGUCUGUGACAGGCUGUCUGACUGCUGCAAGAUGUUUGUCAGAGCCUCACACCAUGACUAGGGGUCAUUGGUUCUUCACAAUCCCUACCUUGAAGAGGUAUUAUGGCCAGCCGUUACUCCCCGUUGAGAAAAGAUCCCUGCAAGCGUACUUGACUGGCUGUAUGCGUCUAAUACGUCUGCAAGCAGCAACUGAAGUGGGUGCUGCACAAUGUCAAUGAUCGAUGCACGUAAUCAUUACCCACUGUU